rnacentral:lncRNA from 1 species
GUUAUCAUAAUUGUCAUCAUAUCGUUUUUGUAGGAAACCUUGAAAUUUGGUGAAUCAAAAAUCGCAGAUUUCAAGAAAGUUGUUGAACUAGGACAACUCGCCCGAGCGGAACUUGAAGAAAGACUUCGUCUAUCUUUGGAACAAACUGAGAAAAUCAAGGUUGGGUUUGUGGUAGAAAGAGAGUCUUUUGAAAACGAAAAAGCCACCUUAAUAAAAUGCUACACUGUUGCUAAAAGUAAGUUGAAAGUCGUCUCAGAAGAGUUGUCCAAGAUUAAAAAGCAUAUCAACGAGAUGAAUCACGCUAUCUUUGGUGAGUGCUCAUGGAGCUUUUCAACUUUUUGUUUCCUGACAAUGAUCGAUACUAUGGUGCCUUAUGUGUUUUUAUACCUUUGCUGGUCGUCGUACACACAAUCUUCAGGACAAUUGCUUGUGGAAGCUCAAUGUUGUGAAUAUUCCGAAUGAGCAGCUAUAUACCGGGAGUUUGUGUGCCAUAAAAGUUGUUGCUGGGAAUAAAGAGGCGGUCACACUUAUAAAAUAUGUCCUCGCGUUCCUUUCCACGAUCCCAAGGCAGAUUGGAGAGCUCAAAAGAUUAGCUGCCCGUGCUGGAGCCACUUAUACUUUGAGUUGUGCUCUGGCUUACUCAUGUGAGCUUGACCCGGCAGGAAUGUUGAAAGGAUUCCUAGAACUGAAGGCUGAUGGCUCACCUUUCGAACAAGAUGACUAUCGUUAGAGCGUCUCAGUAGCCCGGACAUUGGCC